rnacentral:rRNA from 1 species
UAGGGAAUCUUCCGCAAUGGACGCAAGUCUGACGGAGCAACGCCGCGUGAGUGAAGAAGGAUUUCGGUUCGUAAAACUCUGUUGUUAGAGAAGAACAGCGCAUAGAGUAACUGUUAUGCGUGUGACGGUAUCUAACCAGAAAGCCACGGCUAACUACGUGCCAGCAGCCGCGGUAAUACGUAGGUGGCAAGCGUUGUCCGGAUUUAUUGGGCGUAAAGCGAGCGCAGGCGGUCUAUUAAGUCUGAUGUGAAAGCCCCCGGCUCAACCGGGGAGGGUCAUUGGAAACUGGUUGGCUUGAGUGCAGAAGAGGAGAGUGGAAUUCCAUGUGUAGCGGUGAAAUGCGUAGAUAUAUGGAGGAACACAAGUGGCGAAGGCGACUCUCUGGUCUGUAACUGACGCUGAGGCUCGAAAGCGUGGGUAGCGAACAGG